rnacentral:rRNA from 1 species
UACGAAGGGUGCUAGCGUUGUUCGGAAUCACUGGGCGUAAAGCGCGCGUAGGCGGCUUUACAAGUCAGAGGUGAAAUCCCAAGGCUCAACCUUGGAACUGCCUUUGAAACUGUAAAGCUAGAGUGUCGGAGGGGAUGGCGGAAUUCCUAAUGUAGAGGCGAAAUUCGUAGAUAUCGAGAGGAACACCGGUGGCGAAGGCGGCCUUCUGGACAGUGACUGACGCUGAGACGCGAAAGCGUGGGGAGCAAACAGG